GACGAACGCUGGCGGCGUGCUUAACACAUGCAAGUCGAACGGGCCCGCUCUCUUUUUUGGGGGUGGGUUGAGUGGCGAACGGGUGAGUAUCACGUGAGUAACCUGCCCCCUGCUCCUGGAUAACUGCUUGAAAGGGCGGCUAAUACGGGGUGUGCCGGCUGGUCCGCAUGGGCCUGGUCGGGAUAGUUUCAUCUUCGGGUGUUUCGGUGGGGGAUGGGCUCGCGGCCUAUCAGCUUGUUGGUGGGGUGAUGGCCCACCAAGGCGGUGACGGGUAGCCGGCCUGGGAGGGUGGGCGGCCACACUGGGACUGAGACACGGCCCAGACGCCUGCGGGAGGCAGCAGUGGGGGGUAUUGCACAAUGGGCGGAAGCCUGAUGCAGCGACGUCGCGUGAGGGAUGGAGGCCUUCGGGUUGUGAACCUCUUUCUCCGGUGGUGAAGGCCCUGUCCGUUGCGGCGGGGUUGACGGUAGCCGGGUAUGAAGCGCCGGCUAACUACGUG
rnacentral:rRNA from 1 species